UGAAAAUGUUACAAGAUUUAUGCAUGAACCUUUUUUUUUUCCUCAUCAGCUAUCGUGAGUGUUAGUGUAUUUUAUGUGUGGCACAAGACAAUUCUUCUUCCAGUGUGGCCCAGGGAAGCAAAAAGACUGGACACCCUUCAAAUGAAACCUUCAGGUUCCCAAAUGAAUUAUCUAAUCAUGGCAUCAAGCUGAAAGACUUGACUAUCAUAUCAGGUUGAAACGAGUCUCCUUGGAAGCUACUUUCUUGGUCAGGAGAACAUUUAAACUUAAAAAGGUAAGUUAUCUGUUUUCCACAUAACUAAUGUGCAGUGGUUUUAUGGUAUAGAACCAUCCAUAAAGAGGAAGAUUUGGAAGCAUAGAGCACUAGGCUG
rnacentral:lncRNA from 10 species